GAGAAGAACUGCAAGUCUCUCCUCCCUCCUCUUUGUCGCUGACUGGAGGCCACACCCCCUAGGCGAGUAGACGUCGGUGUCCUCCAUCGGCAUUUCUCCUCUCUCUCUUUUCCUCUUUCUUAUUACGGCAAAUCCAGCUGAGGUAGAAGCUGCGUCAAGACUAUCUAUCAGCAGCAGCGAGCUCCGAUGGAGUUUCUCAAAGUUUCAAGCUGGUCAAAAGAAGGAUCUUUAACAUAUCCAUUCAGGGACAAAGCAUUUAAGCUGAUAUCCUAAAGCUUCAUCACACCUAAAGGAUUUUGUUGGAAUAGAGUUUAUCUGGAGCAACCCGCUGGCAAAAGCGCAGCCACUUCUAAAACUGAGAACUUUAAUCCUUCCAGGCAAGAAACCAAGGAAGGAAGGGGGAGUCCAUUCACACAAUGGUCCAAAGAUAAGAAAUUAGGAUCUGAUUGGAAAUCCACAUACACAAUUUUAUUAAAGUAGCCUAAAUGUUUGUGCAAUGAAAUAUUUUGCUCGUAUGCUACUAACAAACUAACUAUCCAAUGAUUCCAUUCAUUCGACACUCCUCUAAACUUCAACAAUCAUUUACCAGGAAGGAAAGGGAAUAAAUGUUUCAUUGCCACAUAUUUGAUCUCCAUGUCUUCUCUCCUAGUGUAGUCUGCAUGAAAUUUAGAUUCCUCAUUCCAUUCCUUCUUAUAAGCGAUAACCUUAAAGUCGUCCUCUGUGUAACAACCCUAAAAUUAAUAGGAUCAAGCUUAGGGUGUCAAGAAUGCUUGCAAUUAAACCAAGGUUCCCACGGAUUGAAACGCGUAGAAUCAGACCUCAAAACCCUUACUACGACCAAUUUAACAAACUUGGGGAGUUAGUUGAGCUUUGAAAGGUUCGAACCAACCAAGUAAGGCUCGCAAAAAUGAAGAUUUAACCGAAGGAGUCUUUACCAGACUUGAAAGAAGAAAUUGUAGGUUUUGAGGGUCCAGGGGUAAAAUGGUCUUUUUCAGGCCAAGGGUAAUAUAAUAAUUACCCUUGGGAAUUAAUAAAUUUAAUUAAAAGAUCAAUUCGGAUUGGGGCGACCCGGAGUGACCCAUUUCACAAAUGGGGUACCACUCGGGUUCGAGCCCCACUAGGAGCAAGCAAUUGAUGAUUUAAUCAUCAGUUAAAAUCUAUUCAUUAAGGGUAAAAUGGUCCUUUCCCGUAUUAAUUAAAAUAAAUCAGAUUUUGGUAUUAAUUUAAUUAAAUCCUAUUUUGACUAAGUCUUGAAUUUAGUCUCCUAAUCCUAAUAACUCUCUCCCACACGUUUCUCAACUCUCUUUCACGUCUCUCAACUCUCAUUCUCUCACGUUCAGACUAACAAGAAAUCUCAAGAAUAGUUUAGUAAUAAUUGUUCUUCAGACUUGAAAAACACAUGAAAAGUUUUAAGAAAAGCAAGGUAAUAAAAAACGUCAAGGCAGAGGGAGGUUGUUCGUCGAGUGGUGUGUACGUUGAGGAGAAUUGGGCGUCGUUUGGAGGAGUUUCUGGGAAGUAUCUUCACACUUGAACAACAUCAAAAGGUACAGGCAUAGGUGGGUGAUAGAGCUACAGGAUCAUUGUUGCAGCUAAUCGGACGUCAGCAUUCAUCCGUAGUUUGAGAAUGAACACUAGGAGGGCUAUUGGUUAGAGGAGAUGAGGAGCAGCUGCUGAGGGCAAUCAAGUUCCACCCCAGGCCCUAGCUGAAGGAGUGGCCAUGUCGGUUAACCAUGCUGGGUUAAAUGAUGCUGAGGUGAGGGCAUCUCUUGCUCAGAUGGCACAGGCCAUUAUGAUGCAGGCUCAGGCUAUGACUGCCCAAGUCAACCGGCAGGAUGUUCAAAGGGAGAACCCACCGGUUCAAAGCAUGGCUAACAGACUGCAAAAUUUCACGAGGAUGAAUCCUCCAAUAUUCACAGGGGCUAAGACAUCAGAGGAUCCUCAAGAAUUUGUAGACGAAGUGCAUAAGAUCCUGGUGGCUAUGGGGGGCCACUGAUAUUGAGAAGGCUGAGUUGGCUUCCUAUAAACUCACGGAUGUUGCACAGACUUGGUGCAAGAUGUGGCAAGAUAGCCGUGUCUUAGGUGGAGUGCCAAUCACUUGGGAGUUGUUCAAGACAGCAUUUCUGGAAAGAUUCUUCCCCAGAGAUAUGAGGGAAGCCAAGGUUGAGGAGUUCAUCAACCUUAAACAAGGCUUUAUGACAGUCAGGGUGUAUUCCCUAAUGUUUGUUAAGCUAUAAAAGUAUGUUACAUUUCCUAGUAUUUAAUAGCAAACAUGGGGAGGAUAUUGAGUUUUCUUAAAAUCAUCCAGGUAUGCUACUUCCCUGGUUUCUAACAGCCGGGAUGAGAUGAGUAGGUUUCUCACGGGAAUCAAUGGAGACCUGGAGGAGUAGUGUUGGUUUGCGAUGCUCCAUGAUAAUAUGGACCUUUCCAGGUUGAUGGUGCAUGUCCAGCAGGUAGAGGACAUCCGUAGAAAGAGAGGUGUUUGUGAUGUUAGGAGGCCUAGGCCUCAAAUCAGGCAGGUCCGUGUCAUGGAGGCCACAAAAAUAACUUUGGCGUGCGUGAGAAGCCAAGGUUCAAAAAGGGGAAACACAUUCUGGGAAUUCAAAUCCUCAGAGAGGUGAUACACCUAGAGGAGGCAUACCUGCGCCCAAGAAGGGAAAUGGAGGUGAGAUGCAUCGUCGUAAGACGAAUUGUGCUAAGUGUGGCCAAGCUCACAGUGGGGAAUGCAGAUAGGGAACAAAAUCCUUCUUCGGUUGUGGUAAGAGUGGACACAUGGUCAAAGACUUUCCACAGAACAGAGGUGAUGAUGGAAGUAAUGCUCAGCCUAGGCCUAAUCCACAAGGUGCAGCAGCAGCCGAACCCCCCAAAAGGAACAAAUCCUAUUCCAUGAAGGGCAGGGAGGAGCAGGAGAAGUGCGGUGAUGUUGUUACAGGUGCAGGCAGAGGUGGGCGAUAGAGCUAAAAAUCAUUGUUGCAGCUACCCGGACGUCUGUAUUCAUACGGAGUUUGGUAGGUCCUUAUGCUUUCGAGGAUGCUACUAUUUACAUUCUAGCUUAGUUUUAGAAUGAUCUAGUGGAGCAUGUUCCACUAGCGUUUCUUUCCUUUUUUGAUUCAGACUUUGAAUUGGUGCCAUUUCGGCAAUUAUACAAUUAAUACUUAUUGAA